AUGAGUUCUCCCUGAGACUUAGAGUCUCCUGAAGGAACGUUGAAGACGACGACGUUGAUAGGCCGGGUGUGUAAGCGCAGCGAUGCGUUGAGCUAACCGGUACUAAUGAACCGUGAGGCUUAACCUUAC
rnacentral:rRNA from 1 species